rnacentral:rRNA from 1 species
AAUACAUGCAAGUCGAACGCUUUUCUUUCACCGGAGCUUGCUCCACCGAAAGAAAAGGAGUGGCGAACGGGUGAGUAACACGUGGGUAACCUGCCCAUCAGAAGGGGAUAACACUUGGAAACAGGUGCUAAUACCGUAUAACAAUCGAAACCGCAUGGUUUCGGUUUGAAAGGCGCUUUUGCGUCACUGAUGGAUGGACCCGCGGUGCAUUAGCUAGUUGGUGAGGUAACGGCUCACCAAGGCAACGAUGCAUAGCCGACCUGAGAGGGUGAUCGGCCACAUUGGGACUGAGACACGGCCCAAACUCCUACGGGAGGCAGCAGUAGGGAAUCUUCGGCAAUGGACGCAAGUCUGACCGAGCAACGCCGCGUGAGUGAAGAAGGUUUUCGGAUCGUAAAACUCUGUUGUUAGAGAAGAACAAGGAUGAGAGUAAAAUGUUCAUCCCUUGACGGUAUCUAACCAGAAAGCCACGGCUAACUACGUGCCAGCAGCCGCGGUAAUACGUAGGUGGCAAGCGUUGUCCGGAUUUAUUGGGCGUAAAGCGAGCGCAGGCGGUUUCUUAAGUCUGAUGUGAAAGCCCCCGGCUCAACCGGGGGAGGGUCAUUGGAAACUGGGAAACUUGAGUGCAGAAGAGGAGAGUGGAAUUCCAUGUGUAGCGGUGAAAUGCGUAGAUAUAUGGAGGA